AGCAGACAAAGGCAAACUUAACGAAAGUUAAGGACGCAAUAUCUCCGGUCUAAAGGCUUUGGCCAAUGAUAGCGGGAUUACCUCA
rnacentral:ncRNA from 1 species